rnacentral:lncRNA from 1 species
GGCUGACUGUUUAGCAUGUUUAAGACAAUACAAUAAUAAGCAAAACGCUAUGAAUAUCAUACCACUUGUGAUGUUAUUAAUAUUGUGCUCAUAUUUGCAUAUUAAAUAAAAUAAACACUUUUCAUGUUAAAUUAACUUGUCUUCUGUUUCAGCUGCUGUGUACAAUUAUUCGACCCCCUACAUAACAGUUCAUAAACAGUGCAUAAAUAAUUCCAUCCACAAGAC